rnacentral:tRNA from 1 species
GGGGGUGUAGCUCAGGGGCAGAGCGCGUGCUUAGCGUGCACGAGGUCCCGGGUUCAGUCCCCAGUAACGCCA